UACGAAGGGGGCUAGCGUUGCUCGGAAUCACUGGGCGUAAAGCGCACGUAGGCGGACUCUUAAGUCGGUGGUGAAAUCCUGGAGCUCAACUCCAGAACUGCCUUCGAUACUGAGAGUCUUGAGUCCGGGAGAGGUGAGUGGAACUGCGAGUGUAGAGGUGAAAUUCGUAGAUAUUCGCAAGAACACCAGUGGCGAAGGCGGCUCACUGGCCCGGUACUGACGCUGAGGUGC
rnacentral:rRNA from 1 species